UACGUAGGGUGCAAGCGUUAUCCGGAAUUAUUGGGCGUAAAGAGCUCGUAGGCGGUUUGUCACGUCUACUGUGAAAACUGGAGGCUCAACCUCCAGCCUGCAGUGGGUACGGGCAGACUAGAGUGCGGUAGGGGGAGAUUGGAAUUCCUGGUGUAGCGGUGGAAUGCGCAGAUAUCAGGAGGAACACCGAUGGCGAAGGCAGAUCUCUGGGCCGUAACUGACGCUGAGGAGCGAAAGCAUGGGGAGCGAACAGG
rnacentral:rRNA from 1 species